GCCGAGGUGGUGGAAUUGGUAGACACGCCAUCUUGAGGGGGUGGUGGGCGUAAGCCUGUCGGGGUUCGAGUCCCCGCCUCGGCACCA
rnacentral:tRNA from 1 species